rnacentral:rRNA from 1 species
AACAAAAACAUGUCCUUUAGUUUAUUUAUUUAAGGUCUGGCCUGCCCACUGAAAUUAUUUAAAGGGCCGCAGUAAUUUGACUGUGCAAAGGUAGCAUAAUCAUUAGUUUUUUAAUUGAAAGCUUGUAUGAAGGGUUGGACGAGGUAAAUUCUGUCUCUAUUUAAUUUAUAAUAAAAUUUAAUUUUUAAGUUAAAAAGCUUAAAUAUAUUUAAAAGACGAGAAGACCCUAUAGAUCUUUAUAUUAAAUUUAUUAAUUUUAAUAUAGAAUUUUUUCUUUUUUAAUAAAUUUAUUAUUUUAUUGGGGUAAUAAAAAGAUUAAAAUAAUUCUUUUUGAAUAUUUUCAUUAAUUUAUGUUUAUAUGAUCCAAUUUUUUUGAUUAAAAGAUUAAGUUACCUUAGGGAUAACAGCGUAAUUUUUUUAGAGAGUUCAUAUCGAUAAAAAAGUUUGCGACCUCGAUGUUG